rnacentral:lncRNA from 1 species
UAUUCAGUGGAUCCUUCGUGUGUAUAUUUUCAUUUGUUUGAUUCAUCUGUUAUCUUUUAUAAUUGUUUCUCUCAUUCAUGCUUUCUAUUGCUUGAUUAUUUAACAUGUUCAUACUCCCAUGCAUUGUUUAAAUGCUCCAGUAUUUGAUUCUUUGGUUUGAUUAUAUAUUGUUUAUUUAUUCGAUCUGACUGAUAACUGUUGCCUACUUGUAUGAUGUAU